UACAUGUGGGGCAAGCGUUGUUCGGAAUUACUGGGCAUAAAGGGUGCGUAGGCGGUUUGUUAAGUCAGGGGUGAAAGUUUUCGGCCCAACCGGAAAAUGGCCUUUGAUACUGGCGAACUCGAGUGCGUGAGGGGUAACCGGAACGAGUGGUGUAGCGGUGAAAUGCGUAGAUAUCACUCGGAAGGCCAAAGGCGAAGGCAGGUUACUGGUACGCAACUGACGCUGAGGCAUGAAAGCGUGGGGAGCAAACAGG
rnacentral:rRNA from 1 species